GGGGAUUUAGCUCAGCGCCUAUUAAGCACCUGCCUUAUAAGCAGGCAGUAGUGAGUUCAAUCCCCG
rnacentral:tRNA from 1 species